rnacentral:lncRNA from 1 species
CAAAGUUUUAAACUGUGCUUUUAUGUUUUGUAUAAGCCAUUUGCUUUUAUGCAGAUGAAGAUUGAAAAGCCGCUACCAGCCUCACAAGAGCUCCUUCACUCCGUUCAGCUCAUCCAUUAAGGAUGACCCUUUGUGCUUGGGUGAUCCUUCAUUCAUUGGCUGUUGGGAGCUAAAAAGAAACAGCUGUGAUUGCUAUGGAGAAGGAUGUGUUUUAUGGAUUGCUAUGGAUAAUGUGUUGCAAAGAUCAAGCUUCUCUGAGGCUGUGGCUGCCUUGACAUGCAGUGAUGGCUCAGUGCACAUAUUCUACAUGGAUGGUAUUGGAAGUGAGAAUGGUGAUAUCUGUAAAACUGAGGGAGGAAAACACUUCUUGUUGUUGCUAUGAGGGCUUGAGUUUGUGCAGCAGUCACUUGUUCUGUUCCCAACUCUGCCAUCUCCUCCAUCUUGUGGCCCCCUCUCCACACUCCUCACCUCUCACCCCUUACCCCACAAAACAAAAACAAAAGAAAAGUACAAACGAAAACCUCUGGUGUGUGAGAUUAUAAUCUGAGUGUCCUACCAGCAGCAUCUCAAAGAAGGACACAGAUGACAGGAAAAGAAGGAAAAAGUCUUUGAAACAGAACAGCCCUUUCCAGAGAUGGGAAGGGGGGUGGAGGAGGACCUGGGACAUGAGGAACACUUGCUGCAAGGCAUGGAAGGAUCGAGUGCUCCCAGUCCACAGUCACUGCUCCAAGCCCCUCAGCUCGUGCAUGUCAUCAUCAGGUGUCUGCAGAGAACAGAGUGAUGUAUUCUAAUAUAAGACCUACCUGUAUUUGCUCUAUUAUCAGUUUUUUAGGACAACAUGGGUAUGAAUUUUGAGACUCGACCUUCUAAAUAGUUGUGAGAGUCUUCCCUUGCUAGUCCGCUCCCUGAGGCAAA